rnacentral:lncRNA from 1 species
UUUCGGCCGUGUUUUCCGACUUUUGGCCGGGAUUUUGGCUCCGAUUUGGCCACUGGAGAAAUCAGCGUGGAAAAACGAGUCGGGGCAUGAAAUUUACCUCGAUCGGCGGUCGGAAAUUCCUCCGGUGCGGCGGCGGGUGGCGGCGGCCGGCUUCUGGUUCGUCUUCUCCGGCGAGGGCAGGCGGCUAGGGUUUGGGGUCUGGUGUGGGGGUCUUAUUUAUACCCUUUUGCCUUUUGAUCUCAGCCGUCCAUUUUGAUUUAAUCUGGGUCGUCCGUUUUUGAUUAAAUCUGG